rnacentral:tRNA from 1 species
GGAGAGGUGCCAGAGUGGCUUAAUGGGUCCGACUCGAAAUCGGAAGUUCUGUCAAAAGCGGAACCGGGAGUUCAAAUCUCCCCCUCUCCG